AAUUUUCCACAAUGGACGAAAGUCUGAUGGAGCAACGCCGCGUGAACGAUGAAGGCCUUCGGGUUGUAAAGUUCUGUUGUCAGGGACGAAACCGUACCAUUCAAACAGGGUGGUACCUUGACGGUACCUGACGAGAAAGCUACGGCUAACUACGUGCCAGCAGCCGCGGUAAUACGUAGGUGGCAAGCGUUGUCCGGAAUUAUUGGGCGUAAAGCGCGCGCAGGCGGCUAUGUAAGUCUGGUGUCAAAGCCCGGGGCUCAACCCCGGGACGCAUCGGAAACUGUGUAGCUUGAGUGCAGAAGAGGAAAGCGGUAUUCCACGUGUAGCGGUGAAAUGCGUAGAGAUGUGGAGGAACACCAGUGGCGAAGGCGGCUUUCUGGUCUGUAACUGACGCUGAGGAGCGAAAGCAUGGGGAGCGAACAG
rnacentral:rRNA from 1 species